GACGAACGCUGGCGGCGUGCCUAAUACAUGCAAGUAGAACGCUGAAGCGAGGAGCUUACUCUUCUUGGAUGAGUUGCGAACGGGUGAGUAACGCGUAGGUAACCUGCCUUGUAGCGGGGGAUAACUAUUGGAAACGAUAGCUAAUACCGCAUAACAAUGGAUGACACAUGUCAUUUAUUUGAAAGGGGCAAUUGCUCCACUACAAGAUGGACCUGCGUUGUAUUAGCUAGUAGGUGAGGUAAUGGCUCACCUAGGCGACGAUACAUAGCCGACCUGAGAGGGUGAUCGGCCACACUGGGACUGAGACACGGCCCAGACUCCUACGGGAGGCAGCAGUAGGGAAUCUUCGGCAAUGGGGGCAACCCUGACCGAGCAACGCCGCGUGAGUGAAGAAGGUUGUCGGAUCGUAAAGCUCUGUUGUAAGUCAAGAACGGGGGUGAGAGUGGAAAGUUCACACUGUGACGGUAGCUUACCAGAAAGGGACGGCUAACUACGUG
rnacentral:rRNA from 1 species